rnacentral:rRNA from 1 species
GGGGACGUUCCAAAGGGUGUUACCAAGGGGCGGGCGAACAGUUAGCCGCUUGCUCCUUUACGUAGCGCGGACGGGUGAGUAACACGUGGGUAACCUACUUUUUAGACUGGAAUAACUCCGGGAAACCGGGGCUAUGCCGGAUAACAGUUGAACCGCAUGGUUCUAAAGUGAAAGAUGGUUUUGCUAUCACUUAUAGAUGGACCCGCGCCGUAUUAGCUAGUUGGGAAAGGUAACCGGCUUACCAAGGCAACGAUACGUAGCCGACCUGAGAGGGUGAUCGGCACACUGGAACCUGAGACACGGUCCAGACUCCUCCGGGAGGCAGCCGGUACGGAAUCCUUCCGCAAUUGGGCGAAAAGCCUGACGGAACAACGCCGCGGUGAGUGAUGAAGGUCUUCGGAUCGUAAAACUCUGUUAUUAGGAAGAACAAAUGUGAAGUAACUGUGCUGGUCUUCACGGUACCUAAUCAGAAAGCCACGGGCAUAACCUUCGUGCCAUGCAGCCGCGGUAAUACGUAGGUGGCAAGCCGUUAUCCAGGAAUUAUUGGGCGUAAACGCGCGCGUAGGCGGUUUCUUAACGUCUGAUGUGAAAGCCCACGGCUCAACCGUGAUGGGUCAUUGGAAACUGGGAAACUUGAGUGCAGAAGAGGAAAGUGAAUUCCAUGUGAGCGGUAAAUGCGCAGAGAUUAUGACGGAACACCAGUGGCGAAGGCGACCUUUCAUGGUCUGUACGACGUGUAUGUGUAACCUGACCCGCACGUUAGUCCCCCCGGGUAGUCCCCCCCGUAAACGAUGAGUCUUAAGUGUAGGGGGUUUCGCCCUUUAGUGGCCUGCAGUUACGGCAUUAAGCACUCCCCCUGGGAGUCGCCCGCAAAGGUUGAACCUCAAAGGAUUUGCGGGGACCCGCCCAAGCGGUGGAGCAUGUGGUUUAAUUUCGAAGCAACGCGAAGAACCUUACCAAAUCUUUGACAUCCUUUUGACAACUUCUAGAGAUAGAGCCUUCCCCUUCGGGGACAAAGUACAGGUGGUGCAUGGUUGUCGUCAGCUUCGUGUCGUGAGAUGUUGGGUUAAGUCCCGCAACGAGCGCAACCCUUAAGCUUUAGUUGCCAGCAUUAAGUUGGGCACUCUAAGUUGACUGCCGGUGACAAACCGGAGGAAGGUGGGGAUGACGUCAAAUCAUCAUGCCCCUUAUGAUUUGGGCUACACACGUGCUACAAUGGACAAUACAAAGGGCAGCUAAACCGCGAGGUCAUGCAAAUCCCAUAAAGUUGUUCUCAGUUCGGAUUGUAGUCUGCAACUCGAGCUACAUGAAGCUGGAAUCGCUAGUAAUCGAGAUCAGCAUGCUACGGUGAAUACAGUUCCCGGGUCUUGUACACACCGCCCGUCACACCACGAGAGGUUUGUAACACCCGAAGCCGGUGGAGUACCACUUAUGGCCCUUGGAAAUCAACCCUUUGGAUACUCUGG